UACGUAGGGCGCGAGCGUUGUCCGGAAUUAUUGGGCGUAAAGAGCUCGUAGGCGCCUGUUGCGUCCGCUGUGAAAUCCCAGGGCUCAACCCUGGGCGUGCAGUGGAUACGGGCAGGCUGGAGGCAGGCAGGGGAGAACGGAAUUCCCGGUGUAGCGGUGAAAUGCGCAGAUAUCGGGAGGAACACCGGUGGCGAAGGCGGGUUCUCU
rnacentral:rRNA from 1 species